CGCAAGAUCUUUUUUGAAUGUUGGAAAGAGUUCAAAGUUCUCGAUUGGACGAUCAACGAUGCGUAUUGCCGCCAUAUUUCUCUCAGGGUGCCAGAGUUGGUGUGCAGCUGCUCUUUCGGUUGUUAUCUCUAAGCUUAAAUUCCGCUGAAACAAACAAACUCUGAGCGUAACGUACGUAGAAAUAUCGAUAGGAGACGGUUAAUCCACCAUGAUGGUAAUUUCGAUAGCACAAGCUACGAGUUUCCCUCGUUCGUUGUUCUUAUUCUAUAAAUUUACUAC
rnacentral:lncRNA from 1 species